rnacentral:rRNA from 1 species
GAACGGCAGCGCGGGGGCAACCCUGGCGGCGAGUGGCGAACGGGUGAGUAAUAUAUCGGAACGUGCCCUGGAGUGGGGGAUAACUAGUCGAAAGAUUAGCUAAUACCGCAUACGAUCUAAGGAUGAAAGUGGGGGAUCGCAAGACCUCAUGCUCGUGGAGCGGCCGAUAUCUGAUUAGCUAGUUGGUGAGGUAAAGGCUCACCAAGGCGACGAUCAGUAGCUGGUCUGAGAGGACGACCAGCCACACUGGAACUGAGACACGGUCCAGACUCCUACGGGAGGCAGCAGUGGGGAAUUUUGGACAAUGGGCGCAAGCCUGAUCCAGCAAUGCCGCGUGAGUGAAGAAGGCCUUCGGGUUGUAAAGCUCUUUUGUCAGGGAAGAAACGGGUGAGGCUAAUAUCCUUGCCUAAUGACGGUACCUGAAGAAUAAGCACCGGCUAACUACGUG